UGGGGAAUAUUGCACAAUGGGCGAAAGCCUGAUGCAGCAACGCCGCGUGAGUGAUGAAGGCCUUCGGGUUGUAAAGCUCUGUCUUUUGGGACGAUAAUGACGGUACCAAAGGAGGAAGCCACGGCUAACUACGUGCCAGCAGCCGCGGUAAUACGUAGGUGGCAAGCGUUGUCCGGAUUUACUGGGCGUAAAGGAUGCGUAGGCGGAUUUUUAAGUGAGAUGUGAAAUACCCGGGCUUAACUUGGGUGCUGCAUUUCAAACUGGGAAUCUAGAGUGCGGGAGAGGAGAAUGGAAUUCCUAGUGUAGCGGUGAAAUGCAUAGAGAUUAGGAAGAACACCAGUGGCGAAGGCGAUUCUCUGGACCGUAACUGACGCUGAGGCAUGAAAGCGUGGGUAGCAAACAGGAUUAGAUACCCUGGUAGUCCACGCCGUAAACGAUGAGUACUAGGUGUAGGAGGUAUCGACCCCUUCUGUGCCGCAGUUAACACAAUAAGUACUCCGCCUGGGAAGUACGAUCGCAAGAUUAAAACUCAAAUGAAUUGACGGGGUC
rnacentral:rRNA from 1 species